GAUGAACGCUGGCGGUAUGCUUAACACAUGCAAGUCGAACGGACUCUUCGGAGUUAGUGGCGGACGGGUGAGUAACGCGUGAGAAUCUGGCUUUGGGUUCGGGACAACCACUGGAAACGGUGGCUAAUACCGGAUGUGCCGAGAGGUAAAAGAGAAAUUGCCUGAAGAUGAGCUCGCGUCUGAUUAGCUAGUUGGUGAGGUAAAGGCUCACCAAGGCAGCGAUCAGUAGCUGGUCUGAGAGGAUGACCAGCCACACUGGGACUGAGACACGGCCCAGACUCCUACGGGAGGCAGCAGUGGGGAAUUUUCCGCAAUGGGCGAAAGCCUGACGGAGCAAUACCGCGUGAGGGAAGAAGGCUCUUGGGUUGUAAACCUCUUUUCUUAGGGAUGAACAAAAUGACGGUACCUAAGGAAUCAGCAUCGGCUAACUCCGUG
rnacentral:rRNA from 1 species